CAGUCAUCUUGGGGAGUGGUCACACCUUCUUUCUGUCUUCCUUCCCCCCACUCCCCGGCCUCCUUCUCCGCAUCUCCAGUCACUUUGCUUCGUACCUGCUGAUCUGCUGGUGCUAUUUGUCUUACGGGUUAUACUGCCUCCAUUCAUCAAGGUUAUUAGGCUCCUGCACAUGGCACACCUUUAUUCCUUUCAUUUCCCCUCUGCCUCCCGUCACCCCUGCCUGGUGUGUCUUCAACGGUCCCAUAAUAAAGCCUGGAGCUGCAGCCAAGUCACACAUGUUCCCGGACACAGGGAGGAACAAAUUCCAGGCAGAGAGGAAUUUCUACCAAACUGCUUCAGCUUCACGAUGAAGGGAAGGUUCUGAUGCUGUGGAGGAAGAGGAAAUGGGUACCAGGAAAGCCUGCCCAAGACUUUGAACUAUCCCACGAUGACCGGUGUUGCACAUCGUAUUACCCUCAGCUGGGGUCCCAGUGUGGAAACAGAGAAAGGUCACUUGGACCUGGGCAGGAACUUCAGCGUUGAGACGAUUGGAACAGUAACUCCGAACAGGCAAAGCACAGCUUGGACCUUUGCCCGGAUUCACCGAUUCUCCAGCUAGAAUGAAUGUUUAUUAUUUUGUGUGUGUCAGCAUCCAUUUGUAACAUAAGUUCCCUUUCCCAUCCCGGAAACAGGGCCCAGUCUCCUUUGCCAUAAUUUCCAGGUGUACACAGCCCUCUCCCUUUCUUCCGGGUGGCGGAUCCGGAUAGCUUCUUUCUAUAGCUGCUCCUGGAACCUACUUGCUGUGGGACAGCAAGUCAUGGCCUGCUUGGUGGGCCCUACAGACCCCCACACCCUGCAUGGACUUCGUACAUGCACGACAGAGGCCACCUCUCAGGCACCAUGUGACCUCCUGAACUUAUGUCUGCUUCACUUAACUCCUCCAAUUAAAACUCACUGUAGAAAACCUGUUACCCUGAAGCUGUGGACCCUAAUAAAGAAGGCAUUGGUGCAUGGUUCCUCUGUCUCUCCCCUGCCUGCGCCCUCACCCCUGUGUGCGGUGGCCUCCAGACAUGUCACACACCUACUGGAUCCAUAAAUGCUGAACUCUACUGAGCUUUCAUACUGUGCUUGUGUCAUUGAAUCCAUCCCCACAAUCUGACCCCUGAAAAUGAGUUGCCCUGAAAAGACCCGUGCGGUUGAAUCCUCUGCAAGUGCUCUUUUGUCUGGCUGGCUGGUUGCUGCUGCAGACAAGAGCUACCCGCUAAGCUGAUAGAGAUAGUGGAAGAGCUUCAUUUGAAAUACCAGUGUAACAAACAAACUUCCCGUAGUUUAUAACAACAAACGUGCAUGUUUUGCUCUUGUUCUUUGAGGGUGGCAGGAUGGCUGUAACUCUGCUUAGUCUAGUGAUGGUGAACCUUUUAGAGGUGAGUGCCCAACCCAAAACCCAAAACCCACUUAUUUAUCACAAAGUGCCAACAUUGCAAUUAAACCAUGAAUGCUGAGGUUUUGGGUUAGAAAAAGCAACUCAUGCACUCAGGUGGUGUGCUGACAGAAAGGGCUCUGCGUGCCCACUGCAGCAAACAUCCCAUGGGUUUGCCACCCCCGGCUUGGGCUGUGGGUUAACUGUAGCUCCAUUCUCACUUCUCAUUCUGGGACCUCAGCUGAAGGAGUGGCUCCGACAGAGGAUAUCUGUUCCCAUGACAGAGGGCAGAACUUUAAGAGCUGGACUGAAACAUAAAAUUACACUCAGUUUCUAUCUGACCAUGACAAACAUCAUGCCAGCUCCUAUGGUACUGAUCAAAG
rnacentral:lncRNA from 1 species